rnacentral:misc_RNA from 1 species
AAAGUCGUAACAAGGUUUCCGUAGGUGAACCUGCGGAAGGAUCAUUACAGAGAACCUGUCCUCACGGGCAGAUCUCCCACCCUUUGUCUACCUACUAUCGUUGCUUUGGCAGGCCCGUCCCCGGACCACCGGCCCCGGGCUGGUCAGCGCCUGCCAGAGGAUCCCAAACCCUGAUCAUCUUGUUGUCCGAGUACCACGAAAAUGGAAAUAAAACUUUCAACAACGGAUCUCUUGGUUCUG